AUUGAACGCUGGCGGCAGGCCUAACACAUGCAAGUCGAGCGAGCGGCGGACGGGUGAGUAAUGUCUGGGAAACUGCCUGUUGGAGGGGGAUAACUACAGGGAGCGGUAGCUAAUCCACCCUCCCGUCUGAUCUGCCCCGAUGGGAUUAGCUAGUGGGUGGGGUACCGGCCCACCUAGGCGACGAUCCCUAGCUGGUCUGAGAGGAUGACCAGUCACACGGGAACUGAGACACGGUCCAGACUCCUACGGGAGGCAGCAGUGGGGAAUAUUGCACAAUGGGCGCAAGCCUGAUGCAGCCAUGCCGCGUGUGUGAAGAAGGCCUUCGGGUUGUAAAGCACUUUCAGCGGGGAGGCGUUACCCGCAGAAGAAGCACCGGCUAACUCCGUGCCAGCAGCCGCGGUAAUUC
rnacentral:rRNA from 1 species